AACGAACGCUGGCGGCAGGCUUAACACAUGCAAGUCGAGCGCCCCGCAAGGGGAGCGGCAGACGGGUGAGUAACGCGUGGGAAUCUACCGUGCCCUACGGAAUAGCUCCGGGAAACUGGAAUUAAUACCGUAUACGCCCUACGGGGGAAAGAUUUAUCGGGGUAUGAUGAGCCCGCGUUGGAUUAGCUAGUUGGUGGGGUAAAGGCCUACCAAGGCGACGAUCCAUAGCUGGUCUGAGAGGAUGAUCAGCCACAUUGGGACUGAGACACGGCCCAAACUCCUACGGGAGGCAGCAGUGGGGAAUAUUGGACAAUGGGCGCAAGCCUGAUCCAGCCAUGCCGCGUGAGUGAUGAAGGUCUUAGGAUUGUAAAGCUCUUUCACCGGUGAAGAUAAUGACGGUAACCGGAGGAAAAGCCCCGGCUAACUUCGUGCCAGCCGCCGCGGUAACAC
rnacentral:rRNA from 1 species